rnacentral:rRNA from 1 species
UACGUAGGGGGCAAGCGUUGUCCGGAUUUAUUGGGCGUAAAGAGCGUGUAGGCGCCAGGGAGGUCCGUUGUGAAAACUCGAGGCUCAACCUCGAGACGCCGAUGGAAACCCCCUGGCUAGAGUCCGGAAGAGGAGAGUGGAAUUCCUGGUGUAGCGGUGAAAUGCGCAGAUAUCAGGAAGAACACCCGUGGCUAAGGCGGCUCACUGGCCCGAUACUGACGCUGGAGACGAAAGCGUGGGGAGCAAACAGG